AACGAACGCUGGCGGCAUGCCUAACACAUGCAAGUCGAACGAGACCUUCGGGUCUAGUGGCGCACGGGUGCGUAACGCGUGGGAACCUGCCCUUAGGUUCGGAAUAACUCCCCGAAAGGGGUGCUAAAACCGGAUAAUGUCUUCGGACCAAAGAUUUAUCGCCUUUGGAUGGGCCCGCGUUGGAUUAGCUAGUUGGUAGGGUAAAAGCCUACCAAGGCGACGAUCCAUAGCUGGUCUGAGAGGAUGAUCAGCCACACUGGGACUGAGACACGGCCCAGACUCCUACGGGAGGCAGCAGUGGGGAAUAUUGGACCAUGGGCGAAAGCCUGAUCCAGCAAUGCCGCGUGAGUGAUGAAGGCCUUAGGGUUGUAAAGCUCUUUUACCCGGGAUGAUAAUGACAGUACCGGGAGAAUAAGCUCCGGCUAACUCCGUG
rnacentral:rRNA from 1 species